rnacentral:rRNA from 1 species
AUUGAACGCUGGCGGCAGGCCUAACACAUGCAAGUCGAACGAGUGGCGGACGGGUGAGUAAUGUCUGGGAAACUGCCUGAUGGAGGGGGAUAACUACUGGAAACGGUAGCUAAUACCGCAUACCAUCAGAUGUGCCCAGAUGGGAUUAGCUAGUGGGUGGGGGACAGGCUCACCAAGGCGACGAUACCUAGCUGGUCUGAGAGGAUGACCAGCCACACUGGAACUGAGACACGGUCCAGACUCCUACGGGAGGCAGCAGUGGGGAAUAUUGCACAAUGGGCGCAAGCCUGAUGCAGCAAUGCCGCGUGUAUGAAGAAGGCCUUCGGGUUGUAAAGUACUUUCAGCGGGGAGGCGUUACCCGCAGAAGAAGCACCGGCUAACUCCGUGCCAGCAGCCGCGGUAAUAC